AACAUUGGCGCAUAAAUACGAUUUAAACUGAUGAUGAUAUUGAUGUGAAGCGAAUCCAUGCGGACAUGUUUCCCUACCACACUGUCAAAACUUUAACGUGCUAAAUAAUAGAGCUGCACCGGUGACCAAAAACAAUCAUACCUGACAAUUACCUCUAGAAAGAUAAUUAGCCCUAGCGUCACCUUGCCUCCUUUCCACCUCUGAUCGUUUUGUUCCCAGGCAGGACUAUGUGGGAUUAUGUGUUCCUAUCACAGAGCUGUCCAGAUGCUGCUGCGUUUCCACUGUCAUCCCUUGUUGCCUUAUCUACCAUAUGGAUAGUCCCAGACUGGUGCUCCCAUCCAGGUCUGCCAGGAAUCUCUGUCAGCGUGUCUGUAUCAGUCUCUCCCACAUGGGGCACCACUGGCAGGGGGAGGACAGAGCUGGUGGGAGAUGCCUUUGCCGCUUCACGCUUCGCCGGCUGUCACGCCGCAGAUGGAGUUGGGGGGGGAAAAAAAAUCGUUAUUAGUGAAAGCUGCAGCUCUCUCCUCGCUGGAGUCUGUUAUCGAUGACUGUUGCGUUUAAGACAGACAUGAAGGUAAAUCACUUUGCUCUAUAUCAGACAGUCACAAUAUGGAGUUUCAAAUUAAUUUGUGUCACGUAAGGAGAGAAAAUUCAUUAUAUUCACUUCAAUGUCACUGACAAUGAAAGAUACUGUAUCAUACUGCACUGCAGUCUAACGCAGAGACAGUAGUCCCAUAAGUUCAUACAAAGUGUUCUGAAUGGCUAAAACCUCAGUCUCAUACACCAUAUGCUGUAUCCUGUUUAUAAAUGUGACUACUGAAGAAAAACCCGCAUUUUUUUAAAUAAAGAAAAACUAAGGCACACAUACACACACACACACACAGCAGAAAGUGGAAAAAGCCUGCCUGGUAACACAUGUCUAUCCAAGCUUGACCGUUUAUUCCCAAUGACUGAGCUUAAAAGCUUCUGCCAGCGUUUUGGGAAAAAUAGGAUAUCACAGUUUAUAGUUCUCCACAUAUUAGUAUCUGUGUUGAGUGCCGUCUUAUCAAGUUGUCGUCUUUUCUUUGGCAGCGAGACACUUGGGGACAGUGUUUCUGGGAUAAUUGGGAAAAAUUGGGCCUUCAAAGCUAAGGAUGGGAGGAAAGUAAAAUACACUUAAAGGAAAAGCCUUUACUGUGAUUUUACUUUUUGGCUUGGUGUGACAGAGGGACGCAGGAAAGAACAGAGGGAGCGGUAUAAAUAAAGGUAACAUAUGCUAAGAGAGGAGGGGAAAAAGCAUAGAUUUAAAAUAGGCACACCCACACAAACAUGCAAGUAGACACAUACAGUAUAUACAGAAGCAGAAAUAGGUCAAAAAGUUCAGGAUGAUAUUUUUUUAUGUCUGACAGCAGACGUUUACCAUACAGGGAAAUAAAAGUUUAUCUUUGGAACAAUUUAAACACUUAUUUUUUACAGGACUGAUUGCUAUCUUGACACUGAAUGAAUUUCCCUGAUGUGGUAAACCUGCAUGCAGACUAAAACUGAAUUAAUAUUUAACCUAAAACCACACAUAAAAUAACACAUGCAGGCUCUUUUUAAUCCUCUACUUCACUCACAUUGAGCAGCUUAUUGUUAACACAGUUUGCACAAGUCAAAAGCGGCACAGGUCAAGUGAAAGACACACCCAUACACAGAGCAGGCAGACACACAGAGACACGGGGUAGCUU